GUGGGACGGCCACCGGAGAUGCCUAACAUUGUGUUCUGAAGAGCGGCCAGAGGCACGAUGGAGCGGGCCAGGGACCGUUUACACCUGAGAUGGACCACAGAACAGCACGUACCAGAGGGAGAAGUCCAAGUCAAACGGAGAAGCACAGCCUCACUGAACAACCAGGAGUGUCACCUGUACCCAAGGCGACCUCAGCAGCAGCAAGUACCUGUGGUGGAUUUCCAGGUGGAACUGAGACAGGCAUUCUUAGCUGAGACACCAAGAGGUGGUUAAAGCAGUAUUGGAACACCCAGGUGGCAGAUUCCAAGAGAGAAAAACAAAGAAAAAAACCAGGCUGUAUCUACUAUUCGAAGCUUCCGCCCCAGCUUGCAUUGUUUGUAGGAGAACCUGCGUCAUACCUUGAUCUGUAGCCUUCCCUUAGGUCUUAAGGAUCCUGAAACUUGCCUGUGGACAUUGGAUUUGGUGGAAAAGCAAUCAUGACUGUGGGAAAGAGAAGCAAGAUGCUGUAGCACAUUUACUAUAGGAUGAGAUGUAUCUUGCAAGAUGACCAGAUCUUCAUUGGUGCCUUUAAGGCUUUUGACAAGCAUAUGAACUUGAUCCUCUGCGAUUGUGAUGAGUUCAGGAAGAUCAAGCCAAAGAAUGCUAAGUAGCCAGAGCAUGAAGAAAAGCGGGUUUUGGGUCUGGUGUUGCUGCAGGGGGAGAACUUGGUUUCCAUGACUGUGGAGGGACCAACCCCCAGAGAUACUGGCAUUGCUUGGGUACCACUUGCUGGAGCUGCAGGAGGCCCUGGGGUUGGUAGGGCAUCUGGCAGAGGUGUUCCAACUGGUGUUCCAAUGCCCCAGGCUCCUGCUGGAUUAGCAGGCCUUGUCUGAGGGGUUGGGGGCCCAUCCCAACAGGUAAUAACCCCACAAGGAAGAGGCACUGUCACAGCUGCUGCAGUUCCUGCUACUGCCAGCAUUGAUGGAGCCCUAACUCAGUAUCCACCAGGCCAGGGGACUGCACCUACACCUGCUGCUCGAGUAACCCUACUUCCAGGAAUUAUGGCUCCUCCACCUGCUAUGAGACCAUCCAUGGGCCCACCAAUUGGGCUUCCUCCUACUCGAGGGACACCAAUAGGCAUGCCCCUCCAUGAAUGAGACCCCCUCCCCCAGGAAUAAGAGGUCCAUCUCCCCCAGGAAUGCAUCCACCAAGACCCUAGGAUACUAUUGGUCCUUCUUAGUCACUUUUUUUCCUGCAAUGUGUCUUGUGAAAUGUGUGGACUGUUUGUGAGCUUUUUGUCCCCUCUGCUGCAUUAAUAUUAGCUAAUAAAUACAUAGAUCAAUUAAACUGUGAGGUACU